rnacentral:lncRNA from 1 species
AAAGAGAAAGACGGCGGCGGUGAGAAGAAAGAGAAAGACGCUGCGGCGGAAGCGAAGGCAGAGGUUAACAAAAUGGAAUUCAUGUACCCGAUCCCACCUCCCUCGUUCUGGUACCAAGGAGGACAGUUUCCCGGUCAAACAAGUUACGCUAUGGAGGUUCAACCAUCCUAUGGUAUUAACAAUCAUUACGUGGAGCAAGGGUACGUGAAUCAUGGUUAUCCUAUGCAGCCGCCUCUACCGUAUUACAUGCACCCUAACGCUCCUCCUCCGCAGAUGUUCAGCGAUGAGAACCCGAAUGCCUGUUCCAUCAUGUGAUUAACUUUCAGUGUAGACUUACACUCGGAUACGGGAUACGGAUACGGAAUACGCAUGACGUAAUCUGUAAAUAAAGAAAAAGAAAAAGAAAAACUGAUGUGCGUGUAAAAACUGAGGGGGUUGAAUAUUCCGUAUUAUUGAAAAUUAAUUAAAAGAGAGAAUUUUUAUGAUAUGGUAGAAUUUUGAAACUAUAUAUGUACGUUAAAGAGUAAGUAGGUUGGUGUUUUAGAGAGGGUGGCCGGCUGGCUGGAGAAUCCUGUCCAGAGUUUAUAUGAAAUUAAAAGAACUCACAUCACAUGAGCUGUUGUUUGUUUUUUGUAUAUUUCUAAUAUCAGAAUAAAUGGUUACUAUAUUUCAAUGAGAUUUGUUCAUUCAUCUUAUCGAAAAGUUUUGGGAUUGGUUCUUGCGGAGGGAGUACGUGCCAAAAGUGAUUGGUUACUUGUUUGUCUCAUUGGAGAUUUUUUCUUUUCUUCUUAUUUUGCUUUCUGUUUUUCCUUUUGGGUACAAAUGGGAAAGACAAUUUUCAUUCUGGAUUCUUAACCUAACACUUGUGUUACUGUUUUCCUUUUCUAUUUCAAUUAUAAUUACGCGUUGAAAAUCACAUGCGUUUGGAUUUGGUGGGGAGCGCUUGACAACGUCUUGCCAACAGAAAAAUAUUCCAUUUUUAAUAGUUGAAAAUUUAGAUAGGAACGAGAUUGCUGCAGUUUAAAGUAAAGUGGAACAAGCUGAAGAAAAUUACCCCAAGUACACAGAUACAUUAUGACCUUACAUACAUAAAUUGCAACACACAUUUCAACGACUCCAAGCAACCCAUGCCCAUUGAAGGGACUUUGGUGGGAGGGCAGGGAGGCCAUUUCCUAUAAUCCUAUUUCAAUGGAAAAAAGAAAUAAUAUUAUGAUGAUGAUUUUGAAUGAUCCAGUCCCACACACACUAGAUAUGGCCAAGAUAAAGCCUCCCCUUAUCUUCCUUUCAAAAAAUUUAGUUUCUUUUUCAGUCAAGCUAUCCUUUUUUUUUUUAUUAUUUUUAUCAUUUUUGUUCUCUUUCAGUCAAUAUAUAUGUCAUGCACUUGGCUCUCAACCACAACCUAUUCAUAUUAAGAACAAUAAAAAGAGAAAGAAGAUCCGACUUUGUUUUGUUUAUACACCAACCACCAAUGGUUUACCGGUUGAUUAAAACGAUACCCAUGAUCGUUACAUUAGCAUAAAAAAUUAAUUUUAUUUACGUGAGAUAAAUACAUAUUUUAUUGAUAUUGUAUUUAGUUAGUAAAUUUUUCUUGGAAAGACUUUCGAAAUGAGAAAAAAGUUGAUAGAUAAUAAGUUGUGGUCCUUGUGAUUAAUGGAGCUAGCUAGCACAACGCUGAGUGUUGUAUCUUCUUUAUCACUCUCAUUACUUAAAAGCUUGUGAGAGGUCCAUUGCUAGGGCCAUUAGCCAACUCUCUUUUUUCUCUUUUUGUUGGUGUUUUGUUUCAACGAAUAGAACUCAUGAGGAAAAGGGUUUGUUAGUGUUUGAUAAAUCGAGCGCAGCCACACGCAUUUAACAAGUGGCCGCAUUUAUAAUCACUUUUAAUUUAUAAUCUUUUAAUUCAUUCAAGUUUGACAAGUACCUCCAACUACCCAAAUACGUAUUCACUCUCAUCUUCAGUCUUUCUAUGGCGCCGUAAAGUAUAGAGUAUUCAUUAAAAGUUCGUUGAUAUUUUAAUUUCAUUUUCAAUUACUCAUCAUGAUCAUGCAUCAUUUUCUAAACGAUUUUCUAUAAAAUUUAUAUUAUGAGUAAACCUGGCAACCCAUGCUUUGCAUUCUUUUAGAGGUUUAAUUUUAUUUCCUUUAAAAAGUGGUUUAGUUGUCUUUAAAAGGAUCACUCUUUAAAGUAAAUAUGGAGAUAAAUUAAAAGUAAGUUCAAAAGUUAAUGAUAUAUCUCUUCUUUUGAUGUGUUUACAGAAGAAAAUGUUUUUUCUUUUUCAGAAAUUAUAAUAAAAGUUAACCUGCUUUAAUAAUUUAACAAUCCCAUACGAUUACGCAAAAAAAAAAAUAUAAUAAGAAAGUCAAAUUGAAUAUAUAUACUUAAGAGAUAAAAGAAAAACAAUAAUUAAAUUAAUAUAAAUGUCGCUCUUUUUUAUAUGAUAUGCGUUAUUCAUUUUCUUUUAAAAGAACGUAUACCAUUCCUUCAUCUUCUUCUUCACCCACCUUCCGUCUUCCAUGAAUAUGUAUGUGUGGAAGAAAACUGUUGUUUGGCCAAAAAUAAAAAUUGAAUUCGGUGGAUUACUUUCUCAAGUUUUAUAGAAAGACAUGCAAAACAGGUAAAUAAAAGUGGGAUAAUGAUAUUUUAACAAUUUUUUUUUAAUAUUUUUUUUACAACAGGACACGUGUCACUAUUUUAUUGGUCAGUUUGAAUUUAUUCUAAAAAGAUAUUUGAAACGGACCAAUCACAAACUGUCAUGUAUGCGUUAUAAAAAAGUUGUCAAAAAAAAGUUGUUAAAAGAGAUUUUUUCCAUAAAAGUGAGACAAAAAAUAAAAACGAUAAAAAGGGUGUCAAAUUAAUGAAGACUUAGCCUAUGGUGAUAUUAUUAUUAUUAUUAUUAUUAUUAUUAUUAUUAUUAUUAUUAUUGUUAUUGUGUUGGGUGGUGCAGAAACUAUUAAUUUUUUUGAUAGAAAAUAAAUAUUAGUUCUUAAUAGGCACGUAUUCAUUUAAGAGUUGGAUCCCUAACAUACCGAGAUAGAGAAAGGGUUUAUAUUAUUAUCUUGUGGCUAAGUUUUUGUAAGUUGUAAUAGAUAUUCGUCAUAUACGGCGCAUGCGGUUGAUGAAGCGUGGAAAGAUACAUUAGCAUGCAGUAUGCAAGAAUGCAUGCCUCUAUCACUCAAUAAUUUAAUUGUGGAUUAAUUAUUAAUUAAUUAAUUUAGGUUAAAGCGUUGACUAUUAAUUAAUUAAUUUGAGUACGAAGUUAGGUUUGUGUAAUGUCCCUAGAAGAAUACGAAAAAAGAAGAUAUAGAUAAGGGUUAAGUAUAUGGUUGUGAUAGUAGAAUUAGACAUUGCUCUUUUGCAUCACUCCAAAGGGGAGGAGAAACAUGACGUAUGGAAGAGCUUCAACAAGUGUUUUAGUUCAUAUUAAAAUUACAUGUUUUUUAUUAAGAAAAUAUAUGUUUAACAAUUUCUUUUGACAACUUUUUUAUAACUGUUUAUGUGACAGUUUGUGAUUGGUCCAUUUUAAAUAUACAAACCAAUAAAAUAGUAACAUAAUUUAUUGUCAAAAAAUUGUUAAAAUAUUAUGGUAUGUAUUGCAUAGUUUGUUACAUAAUAUACAUGAUCAUGACCAUUUCUAGAAAAGAAAAAGCAAAUUGAAAAUGUUCAAAAGAGUAUAUUAUAAUGAGAUAAAAGAAGGGGGGGGGGGGGGUCUUUAUAUUAAUAUAAGAAAAGAUACUGAACAAAAUGAUUUUGUAAGUUGCUUUACGAAAAUAAUAAUAAUAAUAAUAAUAAUAAUAAUAAUAUAAAAGGGCAUAAAUAUUACUAAUAAAAAAUAUGAAAGAUAAGCUUUUCUUUUCCUUUAAUUAUAAGGACUUUUUUCCCUUUAUUUUUAUUUUGAAGGGAGCACUAAAUAUAUGGAUAAGAUAAGUUUUGAUGUUUUUUUUUCUUUUUCUCCACUUUUAAAUAACGAAAGAAAGGAAAUGAUUUGUUAUCUUUCCUUCCACUUGAGUGAUUCGAAAAGAAAACAUUAAGUUAUAAAGAAAAGAGGAAGAAAUGAUUAGAAAUUGAAGUGUUUGUAUAUGGUAUGUCUUUUAUGUUUGGCUUCAAUCAUUGCAUGGACCUCAAUCACUCAGCUCAUUAUGCCUUUCUCGUGUGAACAUCUAUUGUAUGUUUGCAUGUCAGUCCUUCUGAUCUUCAAUACCUCUUUCAGAAAUCUUUCUUCAAAUGCAUACAACACAUUACAACUCUCUCUUCUCUUUCAUUUUUACUAUAUCAACACAUCUUUUUCUAGAUCAUCUUAAUAAUAAUUUCAUUAGUAAACACUUUUUUAUCUUAAUUCUUUUUUCAAGAUACUUUUCAAUAUAAAAAUUCUUAGAGAUUUUAUAUUAAAGAUAUAUUAUUUUAAUUCAAAAUGUAAAAACUUAAAUUUGUAAGACUAAUUAAUUUCUUGUUUUUUUAUAAAUAUUCUUAAAUAUUAUCUGUAGAAUUAUUAUCUAUUAAUCUUACUUCAAAAUUAUGAAUAAAUGUCGACACAAAUCAAUGACAAAAGGCCACAAGUUUCAUAGUUACACGGCUUUUUCUUUUCUUUUAUAUUAAUUAGUCUUUGGAUAUUAUAUAUUAUAUAUUAACUUACCAUUAAACUAUUAUACAGGAAGAUUAUUUGAUAAGGAUUAUCUCAAAAUAAGAGCAGAACAAUAAUUAUUGAAAAAUCCAAAUUAGGCUUCUUGUGUAUAUUGACAACAUGGAGAUGUUGGAAAUUUAAAAAGAUUCCGUUUAGCAAAAGUCUAAACAUUCAUAUACACUCAAUAACUAUAGACUACGAAUAAUGACACACGAUGAAGGAGACUUUUAAAUUCUGCUUUUUAUGGGAAGACAAAAGAGAAAGCCAAUCCUUUUAAUCUUCUUCUUUUUGUUAUCUAUUAAUUAUAGAUAAUAGUUGAAAGAUGAUGAAAAUAUAAAUUAUUAAAAAUUACGACAGAUAUGUAUCAAUAACAUUAAAUAUUUUAUUUUCAGUAAAUAUUUUUUAUUUUUAAGUUUUUAAAACACUAAAUAACAAAAUCGUUUAAUUUUUGAUAAAAAAGAAAUGCACGAACCAAUCAUUUAUAUAUUGGUACCAACCAAUAUUUUCAAUGAUAGGAAAAUGGACAUUACUUGCGUCAUUAUACGCAUGAUCAAUGGUGCUUGUCACCACAUUUUAUAGUGAAUUAGUGAUUAGAAAAAGAACGAUACGAAAGACUUAUAAUAGAUGAUAGAGAUCACAAGGAAUCUUAUAUUUAUUUAUAUAUUGUAUGAAUAGUAAUUUUGUUUCUUCCAUUAAUCUUUCAUAUAUAUACAACUUUUUAGUUUUUGGUUUAUUCAAUGUUAGUGUCUAAUUAAAAAAUAUAUAAUUUUAAUAUUUGUAUAUUUUUAUUCUCAUUUUUUUAAUUGAAAUCUAGAUGUAAAAUAUUUAUCUAAUAUUAAAAAGAAACAAAAAUAUAAAUUUUAAAACGGGAUGGAGGAGAUCAAAACUGUGGAUAAAAAAUAAAUAGGAAUAAACUUUGAAUUUAACCUUAUUUUUCGUUUUACUGGUAAUGUGAGUAUGGUUCUUUCGUAUUUUUGUUUCUUGUAACAAAUAAGUUUUGAAAUACUAAUGCUUUAAAAUAAUUAUUUUCAUUUCAAGAUUAAUAUUCGUUUUAAGAUUAUGUUGAUGCUAUAUGAUGAUAUGGUCAAAAGUUUUAUAUAUGUUUUAAUAUUUCAAUUUAAAGAAAACUAAGGUGUCUGUUAUCAACACUCAAAGCUUAUUGCGUUUAACUAGAAAGUUGUGCCUAACUUAUCAUUUAAUUUAUUUGUUCUACUUUCAUUAAUAUUGUACGUAAGCUUCUAUAUUUUAUGUCAAUAAACUUAUAAAUCAUGCUCACAUAUUUUUCUGCGGGUGGUUAGGAACAAAAGUCCCUGAAAAAUAUUAAAUUAUUUGGAAAUCAAAAACAAAAAAUAAAUACAGAUAAUAUGUUGAAAAUACAAUUUAAAUACUUGGAGUAUUUUAUGUUAAAAUAAAAACAGACUAAAAAUAGAAAAUAAAAAGUAUAUUUUUUCAAUAAAAAUGUCAUUUUUUCUAUUUCUCUAAUUAAUUUUAUUUAAGUCCUGAAUAUGUUUACUUUUUCAAUAAGUAUUGGUAAAUCAUUUCAGGAUUACGAAUUAACGGCAAUAACAUUCAGCAAAUAAAAAUGGUGACAUUGAUGGCGUAAUUUUUGUUUGCGACGCAAUUAAAACAAAUUUAUUUUAACUAAAAUAUGAUUUUCAAAUAUAAAUUUUAGCACACUUAUCCAAUUUUAUUGCGACUAAAAUGUAAUUAAAACUGUCUUCUCAACUUUCAAAAAUGUGUCCAUAUUUGAUAAUAUUAUAUUGAUUUUAACUGUGUUUUAAUACUUUUUAUUUCAUCAGCAAAAUGGCAGAAGUGUUUCCCCCUCUUGUAAGAGAAUCAAACUUACAGAAAAUGAUUCUAUUAUAUUUUUACGUUAUAAGUUAUAAAUAUUAGAUAGCCCUCCCCAAACAAUAAUAUUUAGUUAUUUUAUAUAAACUCAUAUAUAUCAAUUUCACUUAGUGGUCUUACAUCAAACCUAACUGUCAUAUUUAUACAAUAAUGAUUUUUUUGAAUUAUGUUCCAUUGACAUCCUGAUAUAACAUCUUUAGUUGAGAUCUUAAAUGUAAAAUCUCAUCUUUUUACAAAAUUUUGCACUAAAAGCCAAAAUAGGGAUCUAAAACAUAGACUAGGAGAAUAACUCUUAGUACCUUUUAAUAUAUAUAUAGGGGUUUGUUAACACGCGUACGCCUGUUUUUCAGUUGGUACGUUUUAGUAAUGUGUACCGGAUUAUAGUAGACAAAAAUAACCUCAUUUAUCAUGAUUCUAAGUUUUAAGGUCAAGGAUAUUUAAAUAAUUUUCUUUCUCAAAACUAAAAAAAAAAACCCCAAAACCCUUACUCACCUCCCUCAUUCCUCUCAACCCUUUCUNUUUCAUCUCUCUCACUCCAACAUUUUCUCUGUCAUCUCUCUCACUCCAACAUUUUCUCUGUCAUCUCUCUCACUCCAUUUUCUCUGUCAUCCCUACUGUUGUC